rnacentral:rRNA from 1 species
GGCGGGCGGGGCGGGGGCACGGGGGGAACGCGAAGAACCUUACCUACUCUUGACAUCCAGAGAACUUGGCAGAGAUGCUUUGGUGCCUUCGGGAACUCUGAGACAGGUGCUGCAUGGCUGUCGUCAGCUCGUGUUGUGAAAUGUUGGGUUAAGUCCCGCAACGAGCGCAACCCUUAUCCUUUGUUGCCAGCGCGUGAUGGCGGGAACUCAAAGGAGACUGCCGGUGAUAAACCGGAGGAAGGUGGGGAUGACGUCAAGUCAUCAUGGCCCUUACGAGUAGGGCUACACACGUGCUACAAUGGCGUAUACAAAGGGAAGCGACCCUGCGAAGGCAAGCGGAACUCAUAAAGUACGUCGUAGUCCGGAUUGGAGUCUGCAACUCGACUCCAUGAAGUCGGAAUCGCUAGUAAUCGUAGAUCAGAAUGCUACGGUGAAUACGUUCCCGGGUCUUGUUACACACCGA